rnacentral:rRNA from 1 species
AUUGAACGCUGGCGGCAGGCCUAACACAUGCAAGUCGAGCGGUAGAGAGAAGCUUGCUUCUCUUGAGAGCGGCGGACGGGUGAGUAAUGCCUAGGAAUCUGCCUGGUAGUGGGGGAUAACGUCCGGAAACGGACGCUAAUACCGCAUACGUCCUACGGGAGAAAGCAGGGGACCUUCGGGCCUUGCGCUAUCAGAUGAGCCUAGGUCGGAUUAGCUAGUUGGUGGGGUAAUGGCUCACCAAGGCGACGAUCCGUAACUGGUCUGAGAGGAUGAUCAGUCACACUGGAACUGAGACACGGUCCAGACUCCUACGGGAGGCAGCAGUGGGGAAUAUUGGACAAUGGGCGAAAGCCUGAUCCAGCCAUGCCGCGUGUGUGAAGAAGGUCUUCGGAUUGUAAAGCACUUUAAGUUGGGAGGAAGGGCAGUAAAUUAAUACUCUGCUGUUUUGACGUUACCGACAGAAUAAGCACCGGCUAACUCUGUGCCAGCAGCCGCGGUAAUACAGAGGGUGCAAGCGUUAAUCGGAAUUACUGGGCGUAAAGCGCGCGUAGGUGGUUCGUUAAGUUGGAUGUGAAAUCCCCGGGCUCAACCUGGGAACUGCAUUCAAAACUGACGAGCUAGAGUAUGGUAGAGGGUGGUGGAAUUUCCUGUGUAGCGGUGAAAUGCGUAGAUAUAGGAAGGAACACCAGUGGCGAAGGCGACCACCUGGACUGAUACUGACACUGAGGUGCGAAAGCGUGGGGAGCAAACAGG